rnacentral:misc_RNA from 1 species
AACACUGUUAACCUGCGGUACCUGCGGAGGGAUCAUUACCGAGUGUGACCCUUUUAGAGGGUGCCUCCCGUCCUUGCGGGCCCCUAAGGGCUUUUGACUUUGCUUCGGCGGCACCCCCGCCGGAACAACAACCCCAAGAAAAUCUCAAUCAAACCGUUCUGUCCGAGGGCUUGUGAAUAAUCAAAACUUUUAACAAUGGAUCU